CCCGCAACGAGCGCAACCCUUGUCUUUAGUUGCCAUCAUUAAGUUGGGCACUCUAGAGAGACUGCCAGGGAUAACCUGGAGGAAGGUGGGGAUGACGUCAAAUCAUCAUGCCCCUUAUGCUUAGGGCUACACACGUGCUACAAUGGGUAGUACAGAGGGUUGCAAAGCCGUAAGGUGGAGCUAAUCCCUUAAAGCUACUCUCAGUUCGGAUUGUAGGCUGAAACUCGCCUACAUGAAGCUGGAGUUACUAGUAAUCGCAGAUCAGA
rnacentral:rRNA from 1 species